GGGGGCGACCGGCUUCGACGUGGGUUGCGAACCUUCAGGGGCGUGCCGAGGUGCAGUGAACCUCGUAAAACUUUGCUGCAAACUACAGUUGCCAACGACGACAACUACGCUCUGGCGGCUUAAUCCCGCCUAACCUCUGACCGGCUGGUGCUCAUGACACCGAAUCAGGGGACGCGCUCAUGAGAUCGCGGACUGCCGUGCGACGGGGCAGUUCCGUUAAGAGUCACCGUCCGCUGGCUGAGCGUCUUCCCUGCUCCUCGGGUAGCGCAAGGUGAGAACCAAUGAGAGAGCUACGCGCGUAGAUCCUGAAGUCUAGGGCUUGCGGACGCGGGUUCGAUUCCCGCCGCCUCCACCA
rnacentral:tmRNA from 1 species